rnacentral:rRNA from 1 species
UACGUAGGGCGCAAGCGUUGUCCGGAAUUAUUGGGCGUAAAGAGCUCGUAGGUGGCUUGUCGCGUCUGCCGUGAAAGCCCAUGGCUUAACUAUGGGUCUGCGGUGGAUACGGGCAGGCUAGAGGCUGGUAGGGGCAAGCGGAAUUCCUGGUGUAGCGGUGAAAUGCGCAGAUAUCAGGAGGAACACCGGUGGCGAAGGCGGCUUGCUGGGCCAGUUCUGACGCUGAGGAGCGAGAGCGUGGGGAGCGAACAGG